rnacentral:rRNA from 1 species
GCGUAAGCGCACGCAGGCGGUCUGUCAAGUCGGAUGUGAAAUCCCCGGGCUCAACCUGGGAACUGCAUUCGAAACUGGCAGGCUAGAGUCUUGUAGAGGGGGGUAGAAUUCCAGGUGUAGCGGUGAAAUGCGUAGAGAUCUGGAGGAAUACCGGUGGCGAAGGCGGCCCCCUGGACAAAGACUGACGCUCAGGUGCGAAAGCGUGGGGAGCAAACAGGAUUAGAUACCCUGGUAGUCCACGCCGUAAACGAUGUCGACUUGGAGGUUGUGCCCUUGAGGCGUGGCUUCCGGAGCUAACGCGUUAAGUCGACCGCCUGGGGAGUACGGCCGCAAGGUUAAAACUCAAAUGAAUUGACGGGGGCCCGCACAAGCGGUGGAGCAUGUGGUUUAAUUCGAUGCAACGCGAAGAACCUUACCUACUCUUGACAUCCAGAGAACUUGGCAGAGAUGCUUUGGUGCCUUCGGGAACUCUGAGACAGGUGCUGCAUGGCUGUCGUCAGCUCAUGUUGUGAAA